rnacentral:rRNA from 1 species
GCCAGACUCCUACGGGAGGCAGCAGUGGGGAAUAUUGGGCAAUGGGCGCAAGCCUGACCCAGCAACGCCGCGUGAAGGAAGAAGGCUUUCGGGUUGUAAACUUCUUUUAUGAGGGACGAAAGAAAUGACGGUACCCCAUGAAUAAGCCACGGCUAACUACGUGCCAGCAGCCGCGGUAAUACGUAGGUGGCAAGCGUUAUCCGGAUUUACUGGGUGUAAAGGGCGUGUAGGCGGGACUGCAAGUCAGAUGUGAAAAUUAUGGGCUCAACCCAUAACCUGCAUUUGAAACUGUAGUUCUUGAGUGAUGGAGAGGCAGGCGGAAUUCCGUGUGUAGCGGUGAAAUGCGUAGAUAUACGGAGGAACACCAGUGGCGAAGGCGGCCUGCUGGACAUUAACUGACGCUGAGGCGCGAAAGCGUGGGUAGCAAACAGGAUUAGAUACCCUUGUAC